CCGGAAAAAAAUGAACCAUUGAAUUUUCUGUUGGAACAAUUGAUUUACAAUAGAAAGUUCCGUCCACAUAAGAAUGUAUUGUUUUUCAAUUGUGAAAAAUAUAUUUGCAAAUUGCAUCAACAAUAGAAUUACAUUACAUUUUCAUGUAACACUAAAUUCUAUUGUUUAUCAUAUGUUUUACCACACGCAUUUCCAAUUUUUUUUAGUGUGUUUUUAUCUUCACAUUAUAGAUUUUUUUUACCGUGCUUUUUUUUAUGUCAGUUGUCUAAAAAAAAAACAAAAAGUUUUGCGGUGGUGUUUUCCUCAGUACGUAUUCCAGUUGUUCUGGCCAGAACCGGUAAUAAAAAUCCUCCGGAGAGCGCUUGGCUCGGUGCUAGGUGUUUACCAAAGUGAAAAGGUCUGCUCCAGCCGCCAGGACAAUACAGUUCGAGGUGGCAUUUCGGUGUUCGGCUGCGUGAGCUCCAACUGUCGACGGUGACCAUCGCCGCCUACGAGGAGUACCGGAUCAAUGUAGAAAAGUUGCAGAACGAAAGCUGGAGGAAUUUUCUAAUGUGCGGUAGCAGGAAAAUGCUGAGAAAGAUUCGAUGUAGACUGCGGCAUUCGUGUUCGAAAUCCCAUUACAGGGGAAGUUCUGGUGGAUGCGGUACGCUUGCGACCCCGGGCACAGGGAGAUUUCCGGAUACAAAUUUGUGGCAAGUAGGAAGGAGGCUAUCCCCAAUUUAGCAUGGUAAGAGGUGAGGGGAAGGGGGUUCGUUGGUGUAGGUAGGAACACGGAACCCAUCUUUAGCAUUGACCAAUCCAAAAGCCUAUGUGGUAGUGAUUUGUGUUUAAAUUUCCCGUGUAUAAACAACUAAGAACUUUGUAAACAUCUUUUGUUCUCCCGUAUAUAGAUAGGCUUGUGAUAGGCUUCGUCAGACAAAAUUUGAAGAACUCAAUUAGUCACUUUUGAUAAUAAGAACCUAUACACUUGCCAGAAUCAAUAGUGGAAGUGGAAUCCAUAGAAUUGGAGCAGUUUUUUGUGUCAUUUUGUUGUUUAGGGCAAGGCCUAGGAGUACCCCGUAUAAAAAUGAACCAUUGAAUCUGUUGUAAAAACUGUAGACUACCAAUAGAUUCUUAUGUUAACAUAUGUUCUAUUGUAUAUUGUAUUCUUAUAUUACAAUAUGUUCUAUUGUAUACGUAUUUAUUGAUCACAUUUGAAACAUUUCAUUCGUUUCAUUAAAUUUAUUACUGAAUUAGAACUAUCUUUGGCAUAUGGACGUUAUGAAAGGUCUUCUUAUAUACGUUCGCUCUUUAAGACUGGAACACAUAUCAUAAGUUUAAUUCAAUCGGUGCAGAUUUAUGCUAUGGGUUCCAGGCUUUAGUCUAACGGGUGUCUUCAUUGCCAGGACAAUGGUCAAGCACGCUGUAAUGUUACUUUUGUACCUCAUCACCCACUAAAUGCAACUACAUUAGUGGACUAAUAACACUUAGCGCGCUUAGGCACGGUUCCAUCAUGCCGCUUAUAGUGUUGCCACAUAUAGUGUUUAGUUUGCUAAACCCAGUUAUCUGGCUGGUGGGGCAUGGGAGCCUAAGCUUCGACCAUUAAUGCAAUUAGACGUUACUUCAGACAUGAGUGAUUCGAAUAUUUGAAGAACUAUUCAAACUAUAUAGAAGCUUGUGUAUAGUCAACAUUUAACGAACUUAAUCUAUGCAAUAUUUUGCAUUUACGGCUUCGAACGAUCUUCAAGUAUAGGUUCAAGUUGUAGUAUAUCGAGUUUUUUUUAGUGCUACAAUAAUGGUUAAGCACGCUGUAAUGUUACUUUUGUACCUCAUCACCCACUAAAUGCAACUACAUUAGUGGUCUAAUAACACUUAGCGCGCUUAGGCACGGUUCCAUCAUGCCGCUUAUAGUGUUGCCACAUAUAAUGCUUAGUCUGCUAAACCCAGUUAUCUGGCCAGUGGGGCAUGGGAGCCCAAGCUUCAGUCAUUAAUGCAAUUAAACAUUACUCGAUUUACGACAUGAUUGAUCCAAAUAUUAGAUAAUUGUUCGAUCUGUUGUCUUAAAAUGUAGCCCUGAAUGUAGCAUAAAAUAUACAAGCUUCUAGUCCAAAUGCAUAAAGAUAGUUCAGAUUCACUGUUUUUCAGAAUUUUCUCAAGCAAUCAGUAACAAAAGUAAAAAGCAGAAAUAGAUCAAAUCAUGCCAAAAUGUUUAUAAUCGCUUGUAAAAUAAAACUAUUCCUAAACAUUAGAAUUUUCUGUUUCACAAUAGAAAACAAUUCCCAAACCUUUGGAUAGGGCAAAACAGUAUGUUCCGUAAUCACAAUUGAAAGCAAUUUGCGAAACAAUAGAAUCUAAUGUGUAAUUAAGUCAGUGCUCAAAGAACAAUAUGAAAACAUAAGAAUCUUGUGUAUCACAAUAGAAAACAAUUCCCAAACCAUUGAAUCAAAUGCGGAAUCAGUCAUAAAAUUACUACUCAAAACAAUACGUUUACCGUGCAAUUCACUGUUUGAAACAAUUCGAAAACAUAAGAAUCUUCUGUAUCACACAAGGUAUUACAAUAGAAAACGAUACCCAAACCAUUGAAUUCAAUGUAAAUACAGUACAAACAGUAUGUUCUGUUUCACAAUAGAAAACAAUUCCAAAACAAUUGAAUCAAAUGUGGAACCAUAAAUAAAAUCACUACCCAAAACAAUA